CUCUGACACGCUGACGCCGUCUGGUGGAUGGCUUGGCUUGAGAGACGAUGAAGGGCGUGGCAAGCUGCGAUAAGCUCUGGGUAGGCGCAAGUAGCCUUUGAUCCAGAGAUACCCGAAUGGGACUUCUUAUCAGAAUGCCUUCGGGCAUACUGAUGUUCCGUAAGGAUCGUGAACCCUCCGAAUUGAAGCAUCUUAGUAGGAGGAGGAAAAGAAAUCAAUUGAGAUCCCCUAAUUAGCGGCGAGCGAAACGGGGUCUGCCCAAACCGAAUCCUGUAAAGUGAUUUGUAGGAGAUGUGGGGUAUGCUGGCAGUGUUUGCUUCUCUCUAUUUUUUGGACUGAAGUGGCCUGGAAAGGCCUAACAUAGAGGGUGAUAUUCUCGUAAGUUUAGGAAAAAGAGUGAUGUGCUGUUAGCUAGAGUACCUGGCCUCGGCAAUGGCUAGGGAAUAUGGGGGAAAGCAGCCUCCAAGGCUAAAUACUUCUCAAGACCGAUAGUGUAAUAGUACCGUGAGGUAAAGCUGAAAAGUACCCUGAAAGGGGAGUGAAAAGUGACUGAAACCAGACGGUUACAGACGUGUAUUGCCUGAAAGGGGUUUACUGGUCUUCUUGAUCGUCCUUCGGGAUGGUCUUAUGGAGACCUAUUAUGACCCCAGGGUGAUACUUUCCGUCUAGAAACACGGGC
rnacentral:rRNA from 1 species